rnacentral:rRNA from 1 species
UAGGGAAUCUUCCACAAUGGACGCAAGUCUGAUGGAGCAACGCCGCGUGAGUGAAGAAGGCUUUCGGGUCGUAAAACUCUGUUAUUGAAGAAGAACGUGUGUGACAGUAACUGGUCAUGCAGUGACGGUAUUCAAUCAGAAAGUCACGGCUAACUACGUGCCAGCAGCCGCGGUAAUACGUAGGUGGCAAGCGUUGUCCGGAUUUAUUGGGCGUAAAGCGAGUGCAGGCGGUCUUUUAAGUCUGAUGUGAAAGCCUUCGGCUUAACCGAAGAAGGGCAUCGGAAACUGGGAGACUUGAGUGCAGAAGAGGAGAGUGGAACUCCAUGUGUAGCGGUGAAAUGCGUAGAUAUAUGGAAGAACACCAGUGGCGAAGGCGGCUCUCUGGUCUGUAACUGACGCUGAGGCUCGAAAGCGU